rnacentral:rRNA from 1 species
UACGUAGGGAGCAAGCGUUAUCCGGAAUCAUUGGGCGUAAAGCGCGCGUAGGUGGCCAUGUAAGUCCGCUGUGAAAGUCAAAGGCUCAACCUUUGAAAGCCGGUGGAUACUGCAUGGCUAGAGUACGGAAGAGGCGAGUGGAAUUCCUGGUGUAGCGGUGGAAUGCGCAGAUAUCAGGAGGAACACCAAUAGCGAAGGCAGCUCGCUGGGACGUUACUGACACUGAGGCGCGAAAGCGUGGGGAGCGAACAGG